rnacentral:rRNA from 1 species
AACGAACGCUGGCGGCAUGCCUAACACAUGCAAGUCGAACGAAGGCUUCGGCCUUAGUGGCGCACGGGUGCGUAACGCGUGGGAAUCUGCCCUUUGGUUCGGAAUAACAGCUGGAAACGGCUGCUAAUACCGGAUGAUGGCGAAAGUCCAAAGAUUUAUCGCCAGAGGAUGAGCCCGCGUUGGAUUAGGUAGUUGGUGGGGUAAAGGCCUACCAAGCCGACGAUCCAUAGCUGGUCUGAGAGGAUGAUCAGCCACACUGGGACUGAGACACGGCCCAGACUCCUACGGGAGGCAGCAGUGGGGAAUAUUGGACAAUGGGCGCAAGCCUGAUCCAGCAAUGCCGCGUGAGUGAUGAAGGCCCUAGGGUUGUAAAGCUCUUUUACCCGGGAAGAUAAUGACUGUACCGGGAGAAUAAGCCCCGGCUAACUCCGUG